GCUAGUCAGAGGGCAUGUCAUACAGUCUAAGAGAGCUGCAUUCAUUUCUGGUCAGGCCACAGACGCAGGUUACCAGGCAAAUGUUUCAUUGUUCCCUAGGGUUCUAACCAUGAAAACUGCACUCCAACUAGAGAGAAUAGUUUCCAUUCUCAAACUCUGGAGCUUUCUACCACUCUGGAGAGAUGACAGAUAGAAGGCAAGCCUGACUUCUUACUGUGCAAAUGGAGCCCGACCAACCUAAAGGGU